ACUUGCCAUUUCAGCCAUCGAAAGAUCACUUUGUGGACAAUCCAUAGAGACUUGGACUAGAAGACUAAGGGUUUGGUGUGAAGAUUCUUCUCUUCUUGAUUCCGAAACCGAUUUCCUUGGUUGCUUCCAAAGCAACUUAGAUGCGUUGGGUAAAAAAGACCCAGCAUCAGGGAAUGUUUCAUAGACCUUGGUUCAUUUCCUGAAAAUCAAAGAAUCCAUGUGGCUAACCUCAUUGAUAUAUGGACAGAGUUAUAUGAUCAAGAUGAAGACACUCUACCCAUUGCGGACCUCCACAAA
rnacentral:lncRNA from 1 species